GACCCGUUGGCAGAGUGGCUAUGCACCGGUCUGCAGAACCGGUAAGGAGGGUUCGAAUCCCUCACGGGUCU
rnacentral:tRNA from 1 species